rnacentral:rRNA from 1 species
CUGCCAGACUCCUACGGGAGGCAGCAGUGGGGAAUAUUGCACAAUGGGGGAAACCCUGAUGCAGCGACGCCGCGUGAGUGAAGAAGUAUUUCGGUAUGUAAAGCUCUAUCAGCAGGGAAGAAAAUGACGGUACCUGACUAAGAAGCCCCGGCUAACUACGUGCCAGCAGCCGCGGUAAUACGUAGGGGGCAAGCGUUAUCCGGAUUUACUGGGUGUAAAGGGGGCGCAGACGGCGAUGCAAGCCAGGAGUGAAAGCCCGGGGCCCAACCCCGGGACUGCUCUUGGAACUGCGUGGCUAGAGUGCAGGAGGGGCAGGCGGAAUUCCUGGUGUAGCGGUGAAAUGCGUAGAUAUCAGGAGGAACACCGGUGGCGAAGGCGGCCUGCUGGACUGCAACUGACGUUGAGGCCCGAAAGCGUGGGGAGCAAACAGGAUUAGAUACCCCCGUA